AUCUUUCUAAUUUUAAUGCCAAAUUAUAGUUUUGACCCCAAUUUCAUGGUCCACUGAACAUAGAAAAUGAUAGUGCAAAGUUCAGGUUAAAGUUUUUGUCAAGGUAGUUUUUGAUGAAGUUAAAGUUACAUCAACUUGAAACUUGGUACACAUGUUCCCUAUGAUAUGAUCUUUCUAAUUUUAAUUCCAAAUUAAAGUUUUGACUCCA
rnacentral:lncRNA from 1 species